rnacentral:rRNA from 1 species
UACGUAGGGGGCUAGCGUUGUCCGGAAUCAUUGGGCGUAAAGAGCGCGUAGGCGGCCAGAUAAGUCCGGUGUGAAAGUCAAAGGCUCAACCUUUGAAUGCCGCUGGAAACUGUCUGGCUAGAGUCCGGGAGGGGCGAGUGGAAUUCCUGGUGUAGCGGUGAAAUGCGCAGAUAUCAGGAGGAACACCAAUGGCGAAGGCAGCUCGCUGGAACGGUACUGACGCUGGAGGCGACGAAAGCGUGGGGAGCAAA